UACAGAGGUCUCAAGCGUUGUUCGGAUUCAUUGGGCGUAAAGGGUGCGUAGGCGGCGCGGUAAGUCGGGUGUGAAAUCUCGGAGCUUAACUCCGAAACUGCAUUCGAUACUGCCGUGCUUGAGGACUGGAGAGGAGACUGGAAUUUACGGUGUAGCGGUGAAAUGCGUAGAUAUCGUAAGGAAGACCAGUGGCGAAGGCGGGUCUCUGGACAGUUCCUGACGCUGAGGCACGAAGGCCCAGGGGGGAGCAAAACGGGG
rnacentral:rRNA from 1 species